rnacentral:lncRNA from 1 species
AGCACAUAUAUGCAGCACAUAUAUGGGAAGUGAAGAUUCAUCCUCUUCCCAGAUUUAUCCAACUGAAAAUGCAAAUUUCUGUUGGAGCCUUUUCAUAAGAAGUUCAAGUAACAGUGACAGGAACAGGUUGACAACUAUAAAGGUAUUAUAAAUUUAAGUGGUUGUGAUAGAACCAGAACAAUUAAAU